rnacentral:rRNA from 1 species
GACGAACGCUGGCGGCGCGCUUAACACGUGCAAGUCGAACGGAAAGGCCUGCUUUCCCUUGUGGACUGCGGGUACACGAGUGGCGAACGGGUGAGUAAUCUGUGCGUCAUCUGCCGCUAACCUGGGGAUAAUCCUGGGAAACUGGGUCUAAUUCCCGUUAGGAUUGGAGGGUGGUGACUGUGGUGGAAAACGAUUUUCUCGUGGUUGCGGUUGAGUUCGUGGUCUAUCAGCGUGUUGGUGGGGUAAUGGCGUAGAAAGGGGGCGACGGGUAGCCGGCCCGGGAAGGUGGACGGACAGAGUGGGACUGAGAUACGGCCCUGAGACCUACGGGAGGCAGCAGUGGGGAAUAGUGGACGAGGGGCGGAAGCCUGAGGCGGCAGCGCCACGUGGGGAAUGACGGCCGGCGAGUUGUAAACUCCUGUCGACCGCGAGGAAGCCACCUGGUUGGGAGGUUUGUGACGGUAGUGGUAGAAGAAGCACCGGCUAACUACGUG